GCGGGUGUAGCUCAAUGGUAGAGCAGUAGCUUCCCAAGCUAACGACGAGGGUUCGAUUCCCUUCACCCGCUCCA
rnacentral:tRNA from 15 species